GAUGAACGCUGGCGGCAUGCCUAAUACAUGCAAGUCGAACGAGAGGAAGGAAAGCUUGCCUUUCUGAAUCUAGUGGCGAACGGGUGAGUAACACGUAGGUCACCUGCCCAUGUGCCCGGGAUAACUUCUGGAAACGGAUGCUAAAACCGGAUAGGUAGCAGACAAGCAUUUGACUGCUAUUAACGUGGCUAAGGCCAGGAACAUGGAUGGACCUGCGGUGCAUUAGCUAGUUGGUGAGGUAACGGCCCACCAAGGCGACGAUGCAUAGCCGGCCUGAGAGGGCGGACGGCCACAUUGGGACUGAGACACGGCCCAAACUCCUACGGGAGGCAGCAGUAGGGAAUUUUCGUCAAUGGGGGGAACCCUGAACGAGCAAUGCCGCGUGAGUGAGGAAGGUCUUCGGAUCGUAAAGCUCUGUUGUAAGAGAAAAACGACAUUCAUAGGGAAUGAUGAGUGAGUGAUGGUAUCUUACCAGAAAGUCACGGCUAACUACGUGCCAGCCGCCGCAGUAA
rnacentral:rRNA from 1 species